rnacentral:rRNA from 1 species
GACGGAGGAUGCAAGUGUUAUCCGGAAUCACUGGGCGUAAAGCGUCUGUAGGUGGUUCGAAAAGUCCACUGUUAAAAAUUGAGGCUUAACUUCAAAGAUGCCGUGGAAACUUUCAAACUAGAGUAUGGUAGGGGUAGAGGGAAUUUCCAGUGGAGCGGUGAAAUGCGUAGAUAUUGGAAAGACCACCGAUGGCGAAGGCACUCUACUGGGCCACUACUGACACUGAGAGACGAAAGCCAGGGGAGCGAACGGG